UACGUAGGGUGCAAGCGUUGUCCGGAAUUAUUGGGCGUAAAGGGCUCGUAGGCGGUCCAUCACGUCGGGAGUGAAAAGCUGGGGCUUAACCCCAGUCCUGCUUCCGAUACGGGUGGACUAGAGGUAGGCAGGGGAGAACGGAAUUCCUGGUGUAGCGGUGAAAUGCGCAGAUAUCAGGAGGAACACCGGUGGCGAAGGCGGCUCUCUGGACCACAACUGACGCUGAGGCGCGAAAGCUAGGGGAGCAAACAGG
rnacentral:rRNA from 1 species